GCUCGGGUGGUGAAAUUGGUAGACACGCAAGGUUGAGGGCCUUGUGGGAGUUAAAUCCCGUGUGGGUUCGAAUCCCACUCCGAGCACCA
rnacentral:tRNA from 2 species